UACCAGCACCCCGAGUGGUCGGGACGAUUAUUGGGCCUAAAGCAUCCGUAGCCGGUUCUGCAAGUCUUCCGUUAAAUCCAGCCGCUCAACGGAUGGGCCGCGGAGGAUACUAUAGGACUAGGAGGCGGGAGAGGCAAGCGGUACUCAGUGGGUAGGGGUAAAAUCCUUUGAUCCAUUGAAGACCACCAGUGGCGAAGGCGGCUUGCCAGAACGCGCUCGACGGUGAGGGAUGAAAGCCGGGGGAGCAAACCGG
rnacentral:rRNA from 1 species